AGGCGGAGGCGGACGCACGCGACGGCGUGCGGAUCUGCAAGGGCUCCGCCGGCGCGGCUGCUGCGGACUGGCCCGCUGUCGGCUCCGCCCGCGGGGCACGGCGUCCGGCGGAGGGGGCAACCGGCGCGCGAGCGGGCGGGCGGAGGGCGCCGCCGGCGCGGCGGACCCAGAGGCCGGAGGCGGAGGGCGGAGCCGGAGGCCGACUCGGCUGCGGCUGCGUGGAGGCGGAGGUCGCGGGCCGCUCGUCGCGCGGGAUUCCGCCGUCCAUAAGAAGAAGAAGCGACGGGAAUCAAUUUUGGCGAGAUUCGAAGGUGGGGCCGGAGCGGCGGCGGCGGCUGCUGCUGCUGCCGCGGCUCCACGGCAUGAGCAGGCGGGGGCUCGCCGGCGACCAGCGUGCACGAGCUGCUGGAGUGCCCUGCCUGUAGCAACUCCAUGUUCCCGCAAAGAGUUCAUGGAGGAUGGAGUGUGCUUGCUUGGCGUGGGUUGAAAUGCUUGGAGGGAAGGGAUGGUCAUCUAAGUUGGAGUCCCUGAGUUGCUCUGGAAGCUGCUCGGUGUCUAGGGGUACAGUACAGCUUGAUGUCAUCUGCACUUGCUCUACGUUUCAACCUGUUUCCAUAGCAUGUCAGUUUGUUGGUUGUCCUUGAUAGAGUAAGAGAUAGUCCUCGUUGGUGCUAUUAUGGAAGAUUAUGGAAGAAGAUGGUCCUCUGUCAAUCUUUUUUGUGGUCCUAGAUAGAUCCAUAGAGGUCCUUUUCUUGUGCAAGUUCAGCCAACGUCAAUUUCCCUACCAUUGUUUAUACUUUAUACUGUCAAUUGGUUGUGCAGUAUCCAUAUUGGUACCUUCCCUUGGCAGACAUAUCUUGUCUAGGAGGAUGGGGAAUUUCUUUGCCUGAAAAUGAUUGCAAAAUAUUUUGAAUACAAUUAUUGAUAGGUAAAAAUAUUUUGAGGCAGCAUGCCUGAAGAAGCCACCAGGUUUCAAGUAAUAAUGAGACUGGUUGCAGGAUGGCUAAACUCAUAUAGAUUUGAUUAUCAUUUAAAAAUCACAUGGAAACUGAUUUGGUUGUGUCUGGUCUGGAAUUAGUGAGCAGGAGCACUUACGUCUGUCAUCUUGUAAUGUUACCAUUAUUUGAUACUAUAAACAAGUAGCAACAUGAAUUUUUGAUAUUGAUGCAAGAAGAAUAUGUUGGGUUUGUUUGCUGAAAUUCUUUGGUUUGUUACCGACUGUUCAUUCUGAGAUGUUCAUAACUAAUUGCAUCUCUUAAAUAGUCAAAUAACUGAAAUGGAUAUACUGUGAGGUUAUGUGCAAUGCUACGCCUUAGUAAUAGCAUUUUUUUUAUACUUAUAGAACGUUAUUUAAGCAUCAAAUGCAAGUUACAGAGAAGAGGCUGAAACUGCCCCAUUGUACAGACUGCAGUGCAUGCCGCACUGGACAGUUGGAAGUGUGAUCCAAAUGGAAGCAGGAGAAAAGGCAGUGAGUAUUGCCAGUAAAUGUUGCUGCCUGCUUAGCCAAUCUAUGUUCCUGGGAAUUUUGCGUCCUUUGGAUCUUGAUGUAUUGCGCGUUCCUGCCUUGGGUGUUCAGCAUGAUUUCUGAUAGUUGAGAUCUGAUCCUGUAAUUUGUUGUUGCCUGAAUAGGGUUGUCACUUGUGAGGGUCUGUAUGAGUAGCUUGCUGUCAGAUAGAUAUGCCAUAUAGGUCGUCAGGUUGAGUGCCUUGGCAACCAAAGUCCCCAACAACAGUGCUUGUGCUUCUGCCUGCAGGACGUCCUCGACGUGGUGCACCUGAGCCUGAAUCAUGAUCGUUUGCUGGAUGUUUGUGGAACAAGAAGAAAGUACAAAAGAAUGCCAUAUCAAAGCAACCGGUGAGCAAGCACAAUUGCCACACACUGCAUCAUGGAUAUGCCAACAUGUUUUUUAAUCCGCUGAUACCUCUGGACUCUGGUGGUGAUACAUCUAUACUUGCAUCACUUCAUUUAGGAUCAGCUUGUGAGAAAGCCACCUCGGGAUGCCUUCCUUGAUGAUAAGUCUUGGAGAAGCUCUAGAUAGGGUCACUGUCGUUUUGGGAAGCAAGUGACAGAUUUAAUCGAAAAAUGCAUUGUAGUUCUUUUUUGGUGCCCGUCUUUGAUAGGUUUUUUGGGUGGUCAUUUGCUGGCUCAAUAUUGGAAUUCAGGUUUUGUUGAUAUAACUAUGGUCAUGCUGUUCUUGGAAGUUUACUUGGGCAACUACCAUAACAUGUUUUUGUUUGGAUUGA